rnacentral:lncRNA from 1 species
AUGGAGAAGAGCAGGGCCACGCUGAGCACAGCCACCUUCAUCUUCCUCUUUCUCUGGGCAGCGCUGGGUGAGGCUGCAGCAGCAGGGGCUCAGGGUAGGAUAAGAUGUUUUCUGGACCCGAGACGGGGCGUGGUUUGCAACAACGACUUCGGCUCCGGUGGAGGGUUCUCUCACCACGGCCACCCCAUAUUUGGGCUCGGCAAGUUCUUCCGUUCUCGUGGUAAGUACUGGAGUUUUGGGGGAACUGGGAACCAGUUUUUGGGGGAACUGUGGCAACUGGGAACCAGUUUGUCCAGCCCAUCCCUUACUGGGGCCGGAGACACACUGGUGAUGUGUCACCAUCUCUCUGCAGAGGAGAGCCACAGUCGGGAAGAGCAAGGUAAGAACUGGGAAUUGUGGGGCCAGACCCCGUGAUGGCUAUCACUCAUCCCAGUGCACCCAGUAAAUCCCAGUGCACCCCAGGGAAUCCCCUCCAUUGUAUUCCCACCCAUCUUAGUACACCCCAGUAAAUCCCAGUGCUUCCUAUAGUUCCC